rnacentral:rRNA from 1 species
UGGGGAAUAUUGCACAAUGGGCGAAAGCCUGAUGCAGCGACGCCGCGUGAGGGAUGACGGCCUUCGGGUUGUAAACCUCUUUCAGCAGGGACGAAGCGCAAGUGACGGUACCUGCAGCAGAAGCACCGGCUAACUACGUGCCAGCAGCCGCGGUAAUACGUAGGGUGCAAGCGUUGUCCGGAAUUACUGGGCGUAAAGAGUUCGUAGGCGGUUUGUCGCGUCGUUUGUGAAAACCAGCAGCUCAACUGCUGGCUUGCAGGCGAUACGGGCAGACUUGAGUACUGCAGGAGAGACUGGAAUUCCUGGUGUAGCGGUGAAAUGCGCAGAUAUCAGGAGGAACACCGGUGGCGAAGGCGGGUCUCUGGGCAGUAACUGACGCUGAGGAACGAAAGCGUGGGUAGCGAACAGG